CAUGACCCCAGAUCAGACGGGACCACCCGCUGAGUUAA
rnacentral:rRNA from 1 species